rnacentral:rRNA from 1 species
AUUGAACGCUGGCGGCAUGCCUUACACAUGCAAGUCGAACGGUAACGGGUCCUUCGGGAUGCCGACGAGUGCGAACGGGUGAGUAAUAUAUCGGAACGUGCCCAGUAGUGGGGGAUAACUGCUCGAAAGAGCAGCUAAUACCGCAUACGACCUGAGGGUGAAAGGGGGGGAUCGCAAGACCUCUCGCUAUUGGAGCGGCCGAUAUCAGAUUAGCUAGUUGGUGGGGUAAAGGCCUACCAAGGCAACGAUCUGUAGUUGGUCUGAGAGGACGACCAGCCACACUGGGACUGAGACACGGCCCAGACUCCUACGGGAGGCAGCAGGGGGGAAUUUUGGACAAAGGGCGCAAGCCUGAUCCAGCAAUGCCGCGUGCAGGAAGAAGGCCUUCGGGUUGUAAACUGCUUUUGUCAGGGAAGAAAUCUUCUGGGCUAAUACCCCGGGAGGAUGACGGUACCUGAAGAAUAAGCACCGGCUAACUACGUG